UGGGCAACCUGCCCCUCUCUCUGGGAUAACCCCGGGAAACCGGAGCUAAUACCGGAUACUCCGGCUAGAUCGCAUGGUCCGGCCGGGAAAGGUCCGCCGGAGAGGGAUGGGCCCGCGGCCUAUCAGCUUGUUGGUGAGGUAAUGGCUCACCAAGGCGACGACGGGUAGCCGGCCUGAGAGGGUGACCGGCCACACUGGGACUGAGACACGGCCCAGACUCCGUACGGGAGGCA
rnacentral:rRNA from 1 species